rnacentral:rRNA from 1 species
AACGAACGCUGGCGGCAUGCCUAACACAUGCAAGUCGAACGGGAUCCUAGCUUGCUAGGUGAGAGUGGCGGACGGGUGAGUAACACGUGGGAAUCUGCCUUUUGGUUCGGGAUAACCGCGGGAAACUGCGGCUAAUACCGAAUGCCCUCGAGAGAGGAAAGAUUUAUCGCCAGAAGAGGAGCCCGCGUCCGAUUAGGUAGUUGGUGGGUAAAGGCCUACCAAGCCGACGAUCGGUAGCUGGUCUGAGAGGAUGAUCAGCCACACUGGGACUGAGAUACGGCCCAGACUCCUACGGGAGGCAGCAGUGGGAAUAUUGGACAAUGGGGCAACCCUGAUCCAGCAAUGCCGCGUGAGUGAUGAAGGCCUUAGGGUUGUAAAGCUCUUUUACCAGGGACGAUGAUGACGGUACCUGGAGAAUAAGCCCCGGCUAACUUCGUGCCAGCAGCCGCGGUAA